rfam:Gorilla gorilla gorilla genomic chromosome, chr7, whole genome shotgun sequence
GCUGGGUGUGGUAGCUCGCGCCUGUAUUCCCAGCUACUCACUCGGGAGGCUGAGGUGGGAGGAUCACUUGAGCCCGGGAGGUCGAGGCUGCAGUCAGCUGUGAUUGUGCCACUGCACUCCAGCCUGGGCAACAGAGUGAGACCCUGUCUCCC